AGGAGAUCGAGUGGCAAAAUAUCUCGCGAGCCCUGGGCGCCUUCAGUUUCCCUUUCUCUAUCCAAUUCUCCAUCGACCUACUACAACCGCCGCCUCCUCCUCGAUCCAUGUGCUCACCCUUUGCCGCCGCCACCGGAGAGGCUUGCCUCCGCGGCCGCACGCCUUAGAUCCGACGGAAGGAAAAGGAGGAAGAGACCCGCACUGUCCUGUUCCUUGAGGUGGUGGAGGAGCAGCCGAGGGCGACGACGGCGUCCUUGGCCGAGCACACGGACGGAAGGGGGGAGAGGAGUGUAGACGCUCGUGGGGAUUGAGGGGAAGGAGAAAGGUGAUGAUGAUGCCGGCUACUUGGGGAAGGGGAUGCGGGUGACCUGGGGCGAGUCAAGCGACCUGAGGCGAGGCCGGUGGCGACCUAUGGAAGGAAUGGGACGCCGGCGACCUUGGGAAGGAAGGGGAGGCCGGCGAAUUGGGGUAGGUGAUGCGGGUGACCUGGGGAAUGGCGGCUGGGAGCUCCUCAGCCCGUCGUCGCUGUCGGCCGCCGGCGACCACCGCCCGUUGCUUGGAGGAUGAGGGGAAUGGAGAAAGAGGAGCAGUAUCGGGAAGGAGUUUUGGGCGAUGGGCAGCCGCGCCAGGCGACAUGCUCGCGGUGCCGCUUGGUGGCUGAGAUGAGGCUGCCGCAUGCUCUGUUCCGAUGGGCCUCCUCUGCUCGAUGGUUGCACUGGUUGAGUUUGGUACGGUUCCUGUUGUCGGCUGCGUCGAGCCUUGGGUCUUGUCUGUCCUUCGCAUUGAGAUAAAUAGCACGGACAACAUAUCAGUGCUCUAUCUGUGUCUAAGGGCUCCAAGAGAUGCAGUCAUAGACAGUGACUGGUCCCUGAAGUUUGGGACGUUAAGGAUAAAAUCAAGCAGUUUUCAGAAACUUUUAGUUGUGGCUCAUGGGUUGGAGCAACUGGGAAACCAUUGACAAAUGUGGUCUCAGUUGGAGUUGGUGGUAGCUUCCUUGGACCUCUGUUUGUGGAUGCAGCUCUCCAGAUUGGUUGGAGGCAUUGGUGUGAGGGUGUUGUGGUGACGUGCUCCUCCAUGCGUCGUGCGAGUUCUUGGUGUCGCGGUCAUGGCUCCAGAGAGCAGCGCUUCAAGGUCACUUAAGCUUGAAUGGGUUAUCAAGUCUACUGGAAGCAUUCAUGUUUAGCCUUGUUCAUUGGUUUUAGAACAGACGCUCCCUUAAGUAUGUUUAAUCACAAUUAAAAUGAGGAAGCCAAAUUAUUGCAAUGUAAAUCCCUGAACUCGGAGGCUUGAUCCACUAUCACUUGCUCCCGCCACUGUGUCAUAAUAUCUCAUUUUCAUAUAUAAGAUGAUAGUAACUGAAUGAUCAUAUUAGGAGUGCGUUAUUGGCAGCCUUGUGAGGUUUUCUUCGUAACUUCUUCUCCUAUUUUUAAUGUUUGUAUUCUCUUUGUUGCAAGGUGUGGCUGCAGGUAAAGUUGUCAAGUUGAUCUGGUGCUUGCUUGAGCCAUUGAUUACUGUUGCUUUGCUAAGGUUCAAUGUCUUACUACAUGAGAAAUUUAUUCCAAUGCUUUCUCAAUCCCUUUACCAUGAUGACUACCAGAGGAACCUUCAAUGUGUAUAGAUGGUGAUGGAUAUGGGGACACACAAGAACUAGCGAACUUAAUACCAGAUGCCCUCAACUAUGAAUUCUUUAAUUAUUGGAGGCUUUCAUAUUCAUAUCAAUACAAGGUGGGAUAUGAUGCAGGCUUUAGAAUCACUAAGGUUGCUCUUGCUCUGUUCUUUUGGUCAAGGUGUCGUGUUUGUGUGUUUGUUUUUGUGGUGCUGCUUAUAUGUGUGACUACCGUGUGAUCGUAUAUAUAUGCUGAAAAGUAAAAUGAUUUUUCCUUGGCACGAUACAUAAUUUGUAAUGAGAUGGUAGUACAUCAGUGUAUUUACAGGAAAAAAUUAUAGAAGUCUAUUAAUAAUCCAGGGUGAAGAAUAAGUAAUUUUUCACCCCGGUCGAGCGGCCGAGCCUGGUUCUUUUGAUCGCACGCGCGUUGUGCCUCCGGCCGUCCAUCGUUACCCCACACGCGAGCGGCAGGUGAGCGCCAUGGCUCGGUGGUUGACGUGGGGAGCGGCGGUUGACCCGGUGGGGGCGCGACGGCGUGCUGCUGGAUGGGUUUACUCGUCGGCAGCAAUAUGGAUGACCACGGCUGCAAGGUGAGCGGGGUCCGGCCUGGGUGUUGGGAAGCACGCGUGUGGUAGUCGGCUGGCCAUGGCGGCGGUUGAGUUGGUGGUCACGGCGGCACAGGUUAGAUUGUGCGUGCUCUCCUCCAGCCACGGCUGCUUGCCCAUGUACUCUUUGAUAACUUAUAUCCAGCCAAGCGCUUGCCUUGACGUCCUCACAGCUGGAGAUCCAUGACUAAGAGCUCUCCUCAAUGUAUGCAGGUCUCCAUUCAAGCGGAUGAUGACAAAUGUAUGAUGGAUAGAGAGGAAUAAGUUUUCUAGAAAACGUCUUCGUAUUUUAGUGUAUGGUUUUUUAGAGAGGAGGCGCUUGCCCGGCUUUAGCGAAAUGAAGCCCUUAAAGCGUUUACAACCAGAGUAGCGAAACGAGAAUAAAAAAGGGGUUUGAUACAAGGCACACAGGGCUAACACACAAGGCCGAACGAAAACGAAAAACUGAGCAUAACGGAGGAUCAGUCUCCAGGCAUAUUUUUUAGUGAAAUAAGGUGGGUACAAGUAAUUCUAGAUCCAAAUUUAGAGCUUUUGCCAGUAAUCAGUAGCAAAAUUCAAGAUUGCCGAGAAGAGAGGUGAAACUAAAGGCUUCAACACUAUUGUUAGGAUACUAUGUUGCUUCCAAGCUAUGGAUAGGAAUAGUUCAUUCGCUUGAGAGAUUGUUGAACAUAUGAAAUUGAUGGAAAUCUCUGGGCACCCUCAAGUUAAGCUGCUUGAAAACCAAGUUCAAAUAUGUGUGAGGGUAGUGCAGUUGGGCAUGUGAUUCUAUUGCACAUGAUGUAAUCGGACCAUUAGAUCAGUUUUGAAAUAGUGAUCUUCGAACAAUUUUUUUUGUACUUGUGGGGAUAGUUUUCAUGACUUGAAACAUUUCCCAGAACCAUUACUAGUCUUGUACGUUGAAUCAAUUUAUUAUACGGCUUUGUUAUUCCUAGGGACAUGUUGAUUGUUUUUCCAUUACAUAGCAUUGUUUUACGGCCAUCGGGCUACCAUCUGUUCCUUGAGGCUGGUGAUUGUACCGUAUUCGUGAUGAAACGUAUGUCCCUUUUAUGUUCCGUUCUUCAGAUAUUAAUGUUGUCAUCUCAAUCAGAACUGAGCAUCGGUUAUGGGCUUUUGGAUUGUGAUCAUCCUGCUGUGCUGACAUACUUACCAAGAAGAAACAAAGCUUUUGCCUCCAUUUUUUCGGACUUGUGCCUGUUUUGCCCUACAAAGAUAAGAACGGAUGGUCUUUUCAAGAUUAUUUUUAUUUAA
rnacentral:rRNA from 1 species